rnacentral:misc_RNA from 1 species
AGAAGACCUAGUUGAACAGGAUGGCAGAAGGUGGUUGCACAGAUUUUAGCGAAAGUGAACAACAAUUAGAUCUAUUGAAUAUGGAGACCGGAGAAUGCGCGAAUCCGGAUUUGGAACCCACUGCCGUUGUGGAACAAGCAGAAGGGAGAGAGGACAAAGAUCUGCAGUUGUCAGCGUUUUUGGAGAAGGCAAAAACUGAUCGUAUGUAUGAGCUGCGCCAGAUCCAGUAUGGGGAGAGACCAGUGACAAGCACAGGACAUAAGAACGCCAUUGACAGCUUCUUUGCCAAGCAUCUUCAGGUCCAAGAGGCCAAGUUGGAAUCAGGGAAGGAGAAUGUUCCAGCAAAUGUGGAAGAUGUCGAUGAAAUUCGUCCAGAGACUGUAGUGGUAGAAAUCCAAGGCCUUGUUGAACAGCAGAGGGUAUCCAGUAUUCUGGGAACCGCAUUCAGACGACGCCUUGAGAAUGUCAUUCGUGGCACCCUGUCAAGUGUGUCAAGAGCACCGCGAGCUUCACCGCAAACAAAUUCAUCUCACAACAACUCUCCACAAUCAUCUCAACCGAGCCCACAGACAGCAACAGCUGACGUAAUAUCUCGAGAUGGAACAUCUCAAGAAUCUCGACAAAGUUCAAAUGCGUCUACACCUAGCAGUUUAUCUCGAGAUGGAACACCAUCUUGGGUACCUACACCCCCCAGAGUGUCAAGAGACAGUACUCCGGCAGAACCUGAUGUACCAUACAGACCAAGGUCAUUGGAAGUACUUCAGAGAGAGACCGAACGCAGUAGAAGCAACAGUAUCGCCAGCUCACGAAGCAGAUCUUCCAUUAAUUCAACAGAGAAUGUGGUUCCACCUCCACCUGCUGUUCAUCCUCCACAGAUGAAUAUUGCCGACAUAAGUUCCAUACCUCUCCAUGUUGUGGAGGAAAUGCAGCGCGAGGAAUUUGUACAAGAGAUCAGUGAACUGGUUCACCGUCAACUGGUUACCUCUACCUUGCAAGGAAACUUCCGAACUACGCUGGAACUGACCAUGAGGGUAAGAUUAUGAUUCUGUACUUCAGUUUGCAUUUUAAAGAACGAGAGGCCAUUCAGAGUUGUCUAUCUUGGAAAGAAACAUUUACAAUAUGUACAUGUAUUUUCUUUUACCUUAAGAUAUUUUAAGAGAAAUUUUGGGUUAAAUGAUGUUGGAGUUUGAAUAUAAAUACCGUGGAAUCAUUGUCAUUCCAGAAUGCUGUACAAGAGUGAAAAUACUUUUGCACUCUUAAGAUCAACAGCAUUUACAUAUCUGAUGUUAAUUUUAUUUGAUUGUUUGAAAAAAAAUUAUUAAAUUGUUUAUGAUGACCAUUUGAUAGGAUCGCCUGAACGGUUCAGACACUGACGGACAGCGAGUGCAGGAGUUCGUGCGAUCGAUACAACCAACGCAACCAAUCAUCCGCAACGACUUCUCCCACAUUGGGCUUCCUCCACAGCAGCCAGGGGCAGAUAACUGGGACAACAUUUCUGUGACCAGUGUUAGUGCUCAUGCAGUGCCCUACACACAGGUAAACAACACUGAUAAAUUAUUCAAAGUACAUAGCAUUAAGAUUUAAAUGUUGAUUACAUUUUUUGACAAAGAAUCAAAAACAUAUGUUCUCUUUUAGAGUACAUAUUUUCAGUUUUCCAUAAAUUUGAACUCAUUUGUUUAAUACAUGUGCCGGUAUAUAGAUUGAGAAGAUAACUAUGUCAACAAUAAGAGCUUUAUUUAAAAUAUGUGUACAGUAAUUAUCUUGUCACUCAUUAUGACUGUCAAUAAUUAGAUAAAUCAGGUACAAGUACUGUAGUAUGAAAUGUAAUUUUUCAGUCCAAUCUGUACCUCAGCCGGGAGAUGGCCAGUCUGAAGGCCCAGGUGGAGGAGAUGAAGUCCAUGCUCAAGGUCAGCUUCGACCUUCAACUUGACAUCCAGCGGGCCAUUAGACAGGAAGUGGCGGCGGCCAUGUCAGAAAAGUCAGGUGAGUGCGAGGCAAAUUGAUAAAAUUGUGAUAUUUCUCUGGCUCUUUUUCUUGGUUCUGAUAAGCUGGCUGAGAAAGAGUUGAGAAAGUCCUAAUAAUAUACAUGUACUUUUUAAUUUGAACUACUACGGAUAAGUUAUUUGUCCCUAAACUCAAAGAUGGGCUAUUCAUGUUGACAUACUAAAUAUUUACUUCUUGAGCAUAAAAUUGUUAUAUUUAAUAUACUUGAGAUGUCAUACUAAAAUGAGUCAUUUUCUGUGCAAUUUUUCAUCAAUGCAAAUAGAACUGUAGUAAAUUGUAUUUACCUAUCUACAUGUAGUAAAUAGUAUUUGAUGUGAAUCCAUUACGUAUUCAUUUAGACCAAUAGCUAACAGAACUUUUGUUAUUCUAAACUGCUAAAAUUAUGUUCGCCUAAAAUUUCAAAAGGGAGUGAAAUAAAUGCUUGAUAAGACUGUCUGUGAUUUUUCUGACAUGUAAAACUCAAAUCAGCUCAAUUAAUUAGUAAAU